AGUGGCGACCGGGUGAGUAACACGUAGCUAACCUGCCCUCGAGUGGGGGAUAACCUGGGGAAACCUGGGCUAAUACCGCAUAAGAUCCUGACGGCGUAGGUCGUUGGGAGCAAAGGCCCGCAAGGGUCGCUGGAGGAGGGGGCUGCGGCCGAUUAGCUAGUUGGUGAGGCAACGGCCCACCAAGACUAUGAUCGGUAGCCGGCCUGAGAGGGCACACGGCCACACUGGCACUGAAACACGGGCCAGACUCCUACGGGAGGCAGCAGUGGGGAAUCUUGCACAAUGGAGGAAACUCUGAUGCAGCGACGCCGCGUGAGCGAUGAAGCCCUUCGGGGUGUAAAGCUCUUUCGACAGGAACGAUAAUGACGGUACCUGAAGAAGAAGCUGCGGCUAACUACGUGCCAGCAGCCGCGGUAAGACGUAGGGGGCCAGCGUUGUUCGGAAUUACUGGGUGUAAAGGGUUCGUAGGCGGUGUGGCAAGUCGGGAGUGAAAUUUCUGGGCUUAACUCAGAAGCUGCUUCCGAAACUGCUGUGCUAGAGUGCGGGAGAGGCGCGUGGAAUUGCAGGUGUAGCGGUGAAAUGCGUAGAUAUCUGCAGGAACACCCGUGGCGAAAGCGGCGCGCUGGACCGUUACUGACGCUGAGGAACGAAAGCUAGGGGAGCAAACAGGAUUAGAUACCCUGGUAGUCCACGUCCUAAACGAUGCAUAUUUGGUGUGGGUCAUUCAGUUGAUCCGUGCCGGAGCUAACGCGUUAAAUAUGCCGCCUGGGGAGUACAGUCGCAAGGCUGAAACUCAAAGGAAUUGACGGGGGCCCGCACAAGCGGUGGAGCAUGUGGUUCAAUUCGA
rnacentral:rRNA from 1 species